rnacentral:tRNA from 1 species
ACCUGGCUGGCUCAGUUGGUAGAGCAUGAGACUUUCAAUCUCAAGGUCGGGAGUUCAAGACUCAUGCUGGGCA